AAGCACUUUAUACUGUGAAACUGCGAAUGGCUCAUUAAAUCAGUUAUCGUUUAUUUGAUAGUACCUUACUACAUGGAUACCUGUGGUAAUUCUAGAGCUAAUACAUGCUAAAAACCCCGACUUCGGAAGGGGUGUAUUUAUUAGAUAAAAAACCAAUGCCCUUCGGGGCUCCUUGGUGAUUCAUAAUAACUUAACGAAUCGCAUGGCCUUGCGCCGGCGAUGGUUCAUUCAAAUUUCUGCCCUAUCAACUUUCGAUGGUAGGAUAGUGGCCUACCAUGGUGGCAACGGGUAACGGGGAAUUAGGGUUCGAUUCCGGAGAGGGAGCCUGAGAAACGGCUACCACAUCCAAGGAAGGCAGCAGGCGCGCAAAUUACCCAAUCCCGACACGGGGAGGUAGUGACAAUAAAUACUGAUACGGGGCUCUUUCGGGUCUCGUAAUUGGAAUGAGUACAAUCUAAAUCCCUUAACGAGGAACAAUUGGAGGGCAAGUCUGGUGCCAGCAGCCGCGGUAAUUCCAGCUCCAAUAGCGUAUAUUAAAGUUGUUGCAGUUAAAAAGCUCGUAGUUGAACCUUGGGUCUGGCUGGCCGGUCCGCCUCACCGCGAGUACUGGUCCGGCUGGACCUUUCCUUCUGGGGAAUCCCAUGGCCUUCACUGGCUGUGGGGGGAACCAGGACUUUUACUGUGAAAAAAUUAGAGUGUUCAAAGCAGGCCUUUGCUCGAAUACAUUAGCAUGGAAUAAUAGAAUAGGACGUGCGGUUCUAUUUUGUUGGUUUCUAGGACCGCCGUAAUGAUUAAUAGGGAUAGUCGGGGGCGUCAGUAUUCAGCUGUCAGAGGUGAAAUUCUUGGAUUUGCUGAAGACUAACUACUGCGAAAGCAUUCGCCAAGGAUGUUUUCAUUAAUCAGGGAACGAAAGUUAGGGGAUCGAAGACGAUCAGAUACCGUCGUAGUCUUAACCAUAAACUAUGCCGACUAGGGAUCGGGCGGUGUUUCUAUGAUGACCCGCUCGGCACCUUACGAGAAAUCAAAGUUUUUGGGUUCUGGGGGGAGUAUGGUCGCAAGGCUGAAACUUAAAGAAAUUGACGGAAGGGCACCACAAGGCGUGGAGCCUGCGGCUUAAUUUGACUCA
rnacentral:rRNA from 1 species